UGCACAGGACAGAGCACAGUC
rnacentral:miRNA from 1 species